rnacentral:tRNA from 1 species
CAGAGCAUAGCUGAAGAAGGAAAGCAUCUCCCUUACACUGAGAAGAUAUCCGUGCGAACCGGAUUGCCCUGA